rnacentral:sRNA from 1 species
AUUUGUAUUUUAGAUGGACCAGUCUUACAAACCAGAUGAAAAUGAAGUUCGAACUCUCUUUGGUCUUCAUUUAAGCCAGAAGAGAAAUAAUGGUGUUGUCGACAAGUCAUUAUUUAGCAAUGUUGUUACCAAAAAUAAAGAUCUGCCAGAGUCUGCCCUCCGAGACCUCAUCGUAGCCACCAUUGCUGUCAAGUACACUCAGUCUAACUCUGUGUGCUACGCCAAGAACGGGCAGGUUAUCGGCAUUGGAGCAGGACAGCAGUCUCGUAUACACUGCACUCGCCUUGCAGGAGAUAAGGCAAACUAUUGGUGGCUUAGACACCAUCCACAAGUGCUUUCGAUGAAGUUUAAAACAGGAGUGAAGAGAGCAGAAAUCUCCAAUGCCAUCGAUCAAUAUGUGACUGGAACCAUUGGCGAGGAUGAAGAUUUGAUAAAGUGGAAGGCACUGUUUGAGGAAGUCCCUGAGUUACUCACUGAGGCAGAGAAGAAGGAAUGGGUUGAGAAACUGACUGAAGUUUCUAUCAGCUCUGAUGCCUUCUUCCCUUUCCGAGAUAACGUAGACAGAGCUAAAAGGAGUGGUGUGGCGUACAUUGCGGCUCCCUCCGGUUCUGCUGCUGACAAAGUUGUGAUUGAGGCCUGCGACGAACUGGGAAUCAUCCUCGCUCAUACGAACCUUCGGCUCUUCCACCACUGAUUUUACCACACACUGUUUUUUGGCUUGCUUAUGUGUAGGUGAACAGUCACGCCUGAAACUUUGAGGAUAACUUUUUAA